rnacentral:rRNA from 1 species
UGGGGAAUAUUGCGCAAUGGGCGAAAGCCUGACGCAGCGACGCCGCGUGAGGGAUGAAGGUUUUCGGAUCGUAAACCUCUGUCAGAAGGGAAGAAACCGCACUGUGCUAAUCAGCAGUGCCUUGACGGUACCUUCAAAGGAAGCACCGGCUAACUCCGUGCCAGCAGCCGCGGUAAUACGGAGGGUGCAAGCGUUAAUCGGAAUUACUGGGCAUAAAGCGCACGUAGGCUGCUUUGUAAGUCAGGGGUGAAAUCCCACGGCUCAACCGUGGAACUGCCUUUGAUACUGCUUAGCUUGAAUCCGGGAGAGGGUGGCGGAAUUCCAGGUGUAGGAGUGAAAUCCGUAGAUAUCUGGAGGAACAUCAGUGGCGAAGGCGGCCACCUGGACCGGUAUUGACGCUGAGGUGCGAAAGCGUGGGGAGCAAACAGG